AGAGUUUGAUCCUGGCUCAGAUUGAACGCUGGCGGCAUGCCUUACACAUGCAAGUCGAACGGCAGCACGGGGGCAACCUUGGUGGCGAGUGGCGAACGGGUGAGUAAAGCAUCGGAACGUGCCCUGGAGUGGGGGAUAACGUAGCGAAAGUUACGCUAAUACCGCAUAUUCUGUGAGCAGGAAAGCAGGGGAUCGCAAGACCUUGCGCUCUGGGAGCGGCCGAUGUCGGAUUAGCUAGUUGGUGGGGUAAAGGCCUACCAAGGCGACGAUCCGUAGCGGGUCUGAGAGGAUGAUCCGCCACACUGGGACUGAGACACGGCCCAGACUCCUACGGGAGGCAGCAGUGGGGAAUUUUGGACAAUGGGCGAAAGCCUGAUCCAGCCAUGCCGCGUGAGUGAAGAAGGCCUUCGGGUUGUAAAGCUCUUUCGGUGGGGAAGAAAUUGCAUAGGCUAAUACCCUGUGUAGAUGACGGUACCUGGAGAAGAAGCACCGGCUAACUACGUG
rnacentral:rRNA from 1 species